AAUUAUUCCAAGAAAAAAAAGACAUUGGUCGCAUAAAAGUAAAACAACACUAGAAGAUAUACGUACGCGGAUAGCUAUUAACAAUAAACAAUGUAGUGGUUGAAGUACACAAGCAGCGCGCGAUUGUCACUGCCUGGAGAUUUUGAAAAAUAAUAUUUUCAAGCCAACUUAUUUAAUAUAAUGCGGCACGUGUAGAGUUCAUUGCACGAGAUUUCAUAAUGUUUCAAAAUGAUAUGUACAUGAAAUAUCGUCAGUAAUGUAAAUAAUGCAAGAGUUGUCAAAGGGUUGGUUGUUUUUUCAAUAUCUCACUGCCAGCGAAGGCAAUUGUACCGGUGUUUAUGAAUUUCGGCGAAAAUCCAAUAUGAUACAAUGAUGUGUAGCCAGUUAAUAAAAUGGAAUCGGCUGCUGACAGAUAGUAACGGCAAGUGUUUGAUCGCAGGCCAAACGCCUAAUGAGUUUGACAGCACUCUCUGCAGCAAUGAAACUUUGUUUUGUGCCACAGACACGGUUUGCUGAAUAUAAAUGAAAUUUUAAUGUUAAAUAUUUAAUUUUUAGCUCA